rnacentral:tRNA from 1 species
GAGGGUAUAGCUCAGUGGCAGAGCGCAUGCUUAGCAUGCACGAGGUCCUGGGUUCAAUCCCCAGUGCCUCCU